UGUUCCUACGGGACGCAGCAGUGGGGAAUAUUGCACAAUGGGGGGAACCCUGAUGCAGCGACGCCGCGUGAGUGAAGAAGUAUUUCGGUAUGUAAAGCUCUAUCAGCAGGGAAGAAAAUGACGGUACCUGACUAAGAAGCCCCGGCUAACUACGUGCCAGCAGCCGCGGUAAUACGUAGGGGGCAAGCGUUAUCCGGAUUUACUGGGUGUAAAGGGAGCGUAGACGGCAGAGCAAGUCUGAAGUGAAAGCCCGCGGCCCAACCCCGGAACUGCUUUGGAAACUGUGC
rnacentral:rRNA from 1 species